rnacentral:snRNA from 1 species
AAGCAUUACAGCUCUUUUAGAAUUAGUCUACCAGGUUUUCUGGUUUUUAUCAGAAAAUACUCCU